GAAGUACUCCCUCCGUCCGGAAAUACUUGUCAUCAAAAUGGAUAAAAGAGGAUGUAUCUAGAUGUAUUUUAGUUCUAGAUACAUCUCUUUUUAUUCAUUUUGAUGACAAGUUUUUUCGGACGGAGGGAGUACUAU
rfam:Triticum urartu cultivar G1812 contig628424, whole genome shotgun sequence.